CCUCAUUUAAGGGUUGGCAGUGGAGGUGAGGGCAUUUCUUGUUGGAGAUCCCUGCCUACCUGAGGCCUUCCAAAGAGCUGGCAGUGCCUGCAGACAGAAGCCCUGCUCUGUUCCUUUCCUGGCAGCAUCCUCGUGCCUCUGGGAAUAGGAAGGGAGUGAACUGGAACAGUUCUGUACGGAGCCAGUAUCCUUCCACGAUGUGGGAAGACAAUCUGCAGUUUUGUCUCAGGUGACCCUCGAGAGGAAAAGGCUGAUGUCUAUGACUUUCCCUUCCCUUCAAGAAAUGUUGAAAAAGUAAUUAAACGAAAGAAGAAGAAGACCCAAGUCUGGCUUAAAGUCUGGAAAGUAAUUUCAAAAAUGCUUGAAGAAAAUGAAAAGUUCAGACAUCGACUGUUGACUUGCAGUCAGUUCAAUGGAGAAAGCAAUGAUGCGAUCCAAGUACACAGAAGGAGGCACUCCCGCUGGACAGGGAGGAGUCCAUCUUUGGUUGGGUGUAGCAAGAAAAUAAAGGAAGAUUCAGGCCAAAAGGAAAUAUAAAACUAGUAAAAUUGUUUUCAUCUAUAUCUUACUAAAAUUAGUGGGAAGACUACAAAUGAUUCAGAUGAACAUUGUUUCUCUGUUUGUUUGGCACGUAUGUUUCUGCUGUUCAAUAGGUUUGUUUUUAGAGUGGCUUAAAUAGCUUGUUGCAAGAUAUUUGAAGUCAUUAAGUUUAAUAUUUCAUUUAGUUAUUCGUUUUUGAAAGCCUUUUAGUGAGCAUAGUAUUGUGACAGUUUGCUUGUAAAAGAAUAAAGAUGCACAUUUAGUGUUGAUGUCUAUUUUAUUGUUUUUUUUUGUAGCCUGUCAGAAUCAUAGACAUAAAUUCAGUAAAGCAGAACCCCAUGCAGAAUAUAGAAACACUUCUGUUCUUAGUGAUUUGAAUAAUUUUGAUUUUGUUAUAUGGAAAUAACACACAAUCACCUUUCUGCUCAUUCAUCCAUUUAGACAUAAAUCUCGGCAAAUAUUUUGAAUUUAAAACCAGGUAAAUGUUUUCUGCCUUGCUGUUCAUCAUGGGGCCCAUAAUGAUAUCAUCAUAACCAGAAGGCAUGUAUCCAGCUGACUUCAUUAACACAGUAUAGUUUUCCGUUUUGAAGUUUUACACUUGGACUCUUGGCUGUUAAAACCUUUUAAACUAGCAAAUUGUGUAAAUGGAACACAGACUGCAAAAAAAUAGCGUG
ensembl:lncRNA